rnacentral:ncRNA from 2 species
UGGUGAGGUAGAGGUUGCGACAAUUAAGAGUAGUUCUUAUUGAGAUCUGGUGGGAUCAUUGAAGAAGAAACAAAAGGAAUUGUCGCCGAAGCAAGGAAUGACCACACAGCUGUCCUUGUUGGGGCUGCACUGAAUAAGUGCAGGACUGUCAUAGAUUUAUUCUAUGGAGAGCUAUUACGGGA